rnacentral:rRNA from 1 species
UCGAGCGCCCUCUUCGGAGGGAGCGGCAGACGGGUGAGUAACGCGUGGGAAUCUACCUAUUUCUAGGGAAUAACUCAGGGAAACUUGUGCUAAUACCCUAUACGUCCGUAAGGAGAAAGAUUUAUCGGAGAUAGAUGAGCCCGCGUUGGAUUAGCUAGUUGGUGGGGUAAAGGCCUACCAAGGCGACGAUCCAUAGCUGGUCUGAGAGGAUGAUCAGCCACACUGGGACUGAGACACGGCCCAGACUCCUACGGGAGGCAGCAGUGGGGAAUAUUGGACAAUGGGCGCAAGCCUGAUCCAGCCAUGCCGCGUGAGUGAUGAAGGCCCUAGGGUUGUAAAGCUCUUUCACCGGUGAAGAUAAUGACGGUAACCGGAGAAGAAGCCCCGGCUAACUUCGUGCCAGCAGCCGCGGUAAUACGAAGGGGGCUAGCGUUGUUCGGAUUUACUGGGCGUAAAGCGCACGUAGGCGGAUUGGUCAGUUAGGGGUGAAAUCCCAGGGCUUAACCCUGGAACUGCCUUUAAUACUGCCAGUCUUGAGUAUGGAAGAGGUGAGUGGAAUUGCGAGUGUAGAGGUGAAAUUCGUAGAUAUUCGCAGGAACACCAGUGGGCGAAGGCGGCUCACUGGUCCAUUACUGACGCUGAGGUGC